GACGAACGCUGGCGGCGCGCUUAACACAUGCAAGUCGAGCGAUGAAAUUUCGACAGAUCCCUUCGGGGUGAAGAUGAAAUGGAUUAGCGGCGGACGGGUGAGUAACACGUGAGUAACCUGCCUUUGACAUUGGGAUAGCCUCGGGAAACUGGGAUUAAUACCAAAUGACACUAACUGAUCACAUGAUCAAUUAGUCAAAGAAAUUCGGUCAAAGAUGGACUCGCGGCUGAUUAGCUAGUUGGUGAGGUAACGGCCCACCAAGGCGACGAUCAGUAGCCGGCCUGAGAGGGUGAUCGGCCACAUUGGAACUGAGACACGGUCCAAACUCCUACGGGAGGCAGCAGUGGGGAAUAUUGCACAAUGGGGGAAACCCUGAUGCAGCGACGCCGCGUGAGCGAAGAAGGCCUUCGGGUCGUAAAGCUCUUUUAUGAGGGAAGAUAAUGACGGUACCUCAAGAAAAAGCCCCGGCUAACUACGUG
rnacentral:rRNA from 1 species